rnacentral:lncRNA from 1 species
GUUUCUAGUAUGGUCAAUUCACCUGCAGAUGGGAGUGGCCUGGGAUCAACACUCAAGUCAGCAAGUUGUGUGCUGAGAGAAAUGGCAAACAUUUUUGCUACUUGAAUUUAGACUUCCAGACAAGAGUUUAGAUGGGGUUUACCCAUCAACAGCUGUUUUCAGGGAAUUUCAUGCAAGGGACAUCAGAUUUGCUACCUACUGCAGGACAGCUGUAUUUCUUCCAGCCAGAAGUACAUGCAUAUAUCAGAUCGCAGCGCAGCAGCCAGCUCAGCCCUUCUCCUCGGAAGACAACAACUUCAUUUUUACAGACAACAAACAAGGUGAUUUGCAGCCGCGUAAUCGUCGAGACAGAAAAGAGGGGGGUUUCCUUCCGAGAACGUAAAGAGAAGCGGGGAGCAAGGCAGCCAACAAAAGACUUGCUUCGGAGGGUUUGCUUCAAGUAAGUGGAGGGUCGGUGUGUAACUCUGUGGUGUGGGAACUUUCAGACGUCAGAGAACGAAGGACGGGGCCGCCUCCGUUUCUUGGUGCUCGAGAGGCGCCCUUUCCAAUGUGGAUUUAAAAAGAGAAAAAGGAAAACACCCGUGUACGGGAUGAUGGGGGCAGAGAGGCCCUGAAAAAGAUAUAGAAGGCAAACAUGUCUGUAGCUUUUUCAUGACGCGGUGCUGAGGGUUGCCAAGGUGUGCGUAUGUUACGAGGAGUGGCUGCUGUUGGUUUCCUUCAGGAUACAGGAAUGGCAUCCAGGGUGUUUCUCGAUUAAGUGAUCCCUUUUGGAGAGGGGCGGCUGCGUUGUGGGGCAGCCUCGGUGAGCAAAAAAAAAAGGGUACAGAUCCAAGAGGUGUUUGAUAAUUAUUAUUGUUAUUAUUUGCUUUCGUUCUUUAAAUACCCAAUAGUGAGGCGUUGCUUUGCUUUCGGGGACACACCGAGCCACAGUGCGGUGUGCGAGCACCCCGACAGCUGCAAAAAGCAGGAAAUCGCUUAAUAACACAGGAGUUACUCAUGGCUCGUAUUAACCAUGUGUGUACACGUGCUGGGGCCUCAGUCACAUGUUAUAAUCCGGCUGGGUGGCUACAGACGCGAGUUGUGAUUUUGGGGGGGGGGAGGGGGGAAGAGGGGUCCGCCAUUAGGAAACCUUGGAACCCCGACGUUUCCCAUUUCAAGCCCCCCCCCCCCCCCCCCCAAACGGUCAACAAUGG